GCGCUGCGCGCGGGGUCCUUUCCGCCCGCGGUCGCGCCGUCAUUGCGUCAUCACCGCGCGUCCCGCAGGGCCCCGGCCCGGCUGCCCGCGGCGAUGCCUGCGGUUGUUGCGUUGCGGGAACUCAGCGCAGCCUGCAGAGAGCGGUCCGGCAGCACGGGAAGAUGGCGGCCGUGCGGUGCGAGUGCCUCAGCGGUGCCUGCAGCCCGCGAGGAGCCGAGCGGGGCCGGGAAGAGGAAGCCGUGGGAGUCCCGGGGAGGGACGCGCGAUGGCAGCGUCAGCGGCGGGCUCGGCUGCUGCCUCCUCCGCUCCUGACGCCGCGCGCUGGCGCACUUUGAGAAGCGCAAAGAAGCCGGAGCCCGUUGUCACAUCUGUGGGAUUCCACGGAACGCGCAGACGUGGGCUGCCAGCUGCUGGUGGACCUGAAUGAGAAGAGAUUGACCCAAAACUCGAAUGAUGAGGACAGUGCACGUCUGCUUUUCCUAUAGAGGACAAUGCACGUCUGCUUUUCCUGCUUGAGAAAAUCCAACGGAGUGCCAGCUCACAGAGGAGGUAUUUUUCCAGAUAAACUCUCUGGGCAUGCUGUUCUCUCCUGGUUGAACCCACAAGGUUCCACCCAUGCAGAGGUUAUUCCUGUGCCCGUCUUCCAAAGCCCAGGCUCCAUGAAGGCACAGAUGAAGAUGCCAUCACUGACGGCUUGACCAAACUCAAUGCUUCCCAACGUCAGCGAGUUCUGAUCACCUACAAGAGCACUCCUGCAGGUAGGUGCUCUGCAGAGAUGUGUGAACGUGGUUGGGUCACUGGGUGAAAAGCGAAAAAUGACCCAUCCUCCAUAAGAGAAAGGUCAGCAGAGACUUUACCUGGCCAAGGUUGUUUUGUUCCUGUUCAGUUCAGUGCAGUUGUUGAUGCAAGGAGGGUUGGAGCCUGAAGAGAAGUGGAGAGCAGCUCAGUUCCUUCUGUCCUCGAAGGCCGCGCCUUCUGCCAGCUCCUUUCUCCUCUCUUGGCCUUCUAGGGUUUGAUCGAUGACUGGAAGUGACUUGAAGCUGAGUGGGAAUUCUGAGAGGGUGAUGAUUGGGAUGAUGACUGCCAGCACCGUGUGUGACGUGCAGAACUAAGGAGGGCUGUGAAGGUUUGCAAGUCUUCCUUUCGAAUGGCUCAAGUUCUGGCCAAGGACUUGCUGCUUUGUUAUGUACGUCUUCUCAUUUAUUAACUCUUAAAGAAACCUGGCUGCACGUCACAAGCAGGUGCUGGUAUCUGAAAUCUUGCUUGGCAAUUCCCUAGGGAGCAGGAACAGGUGAAGGCUGCCUGAUUGAAAUUCUGGCUUCUCGCACCAGUGAAGAGAUUGGUUGCAUUGAUGAGAACUGCGAGCUUCGUAAGCAGAGCAAAAGGCCAGGCCUUGUCCUGCUGCCUGCCAUCAGUGUGUGUGUGUGCAGGCAGGCGUGAUAGGAAGGAGUCUGGGGAGCUUUCAGGUGUGACAAACUGGCCAACCUGGGUGUUGCUGUUUGUGCAGAGAGAAGCUAGACUGGAAUUUCAGCAGCAGCUGAACUGGUGUAACUGAAAUGGGGAGGAGCAUUCUGUCAGCGGGACGUGUGGCUCUCUUGCCAGUUUCUUGCUGUCUGUGCUUCUUCAUUGGAGGCUGCAGCACUGAUGAUGAUGGCUGGAGCGCUGCAGUGAUGCCGAGAGCCCUGGGCCCAGCUCUGCACGUAGCAGGUGAUGGCUGGCAAACGUUGUGGGCAGCACCCAGGCGGUGGCCCUGCUCCUCACGGAUGCUGUGUGUGUUCCUGCUGGAAGCUGGCUGCUCCCUUGAGGGUGGCGUCCUAUCUGACACAUCUGCCGUGUUCCCAAGGGUCCUCGUGUCCCUCGUGGCGCUGAGCCACGCUGAGGGAGAAGGGGCUGAAUGUUCAGAGCUGUGGGCACAGCUCUGCACUCAGUGGUGAGGAGCUCCAGGCUGGCUUUUUCUCACCCUGUGCGUCCCAUGGCUGCUUCUCAAGCCCAGCUUCUGCAGGGAGGGGGCUCUGACUCUGGGUGUGCGUGAGUGCUGUGGGCUCUUCUUUAAACAUGCCAGUAAAGUGGGUUGCUGCUUGUUUCAGAAGGAGCCCACAGCACACCUGAGCUGUGUUUCGCUGUGUUUGUGAGCUGUGUUCCCUUUGAAGGACUCCAUUAUCCAUCUCCAGCACCCGUUCCUGAAUGGGGAGUUCUCAGGAGUUGCUUCCAGUAGAUGCUCUGGUGAACCGAGUCUUCUCUCCUUGUGUCCUUGCAGAGGUGAGGGAAUGCAUGUGGAUGAUGGCCUUGCUCAGCAGAUGCUCAGGUGUGUAGUAAUGUGCUUCCCAAUCUAUUCUUGUGCGUGUGAUGCGUGGUGAAGAGAAGCCAGCCUGUGAAAUGGGAAUAAUGGUUCUAGUCUCGUUUGCAAGCCUCUAAUGAGUGUCUGUAGACUGGCUGGCUGCUUGGCAGGGGCAGUGACAUUUUGGCUGUGGGUUGCCGUGCCUGGUUGGUGCUUGCUGGAAAAUAUCCAUGGUCUAGACAAGCACAGGCCAGCAGUGCUCUAGCUGCAGGAAUUAAAGAUCUCCUGUAUGCCCAGCCUUCUCCAUCAGCCUUACUUUGUCAUCCACAAUGUCUGUCAGUGCCUGUACGAAGCGGGGGAGAAGAAAUGGGGAACAGAGGAGGUGCAGCUGAUGUCCAUCCUCUGUACACGGAACAGGGAUCACCUGCUGAGAGGCAGCACCCCUGCACAGUGUGCUGGGUUUUCCUUCCCUUCCUUGUUUGUGCGUGGUGCCCUUGCAGGAGCUCCGUAGCUGUUCAGUGGAUGUGAACUCCUCUGAGGCAGCAGGUGUCCUGGAGAGAGCCCCAGUGCAUCCGUUCCGUUUGGGCUGUUUCAUUCCCUCCUGAGACUGAAAGGGGCUUCAGAAACCUCAGUACAACCGGCUGCAGCUCCAGCAUGGAAAGCAGAGAUCAUGAAGUGAUCUCCAUGUCCUUGUGGAGCUCCAACUUGUCAGCUUGCUCUCUGAGCGUGGAGCACGACCAGCCGUGCUGCGCUGUGUGUGUGUGUUGCCUGUGGGGCUGGAGGUGGGGAAGCUGCCCCAGUGACUGCAGAAGGGACUUUGGCUGCACCGUGCCUGCUUGCAGCUCAGCCUCAUCGUCUUGCUCUGUUUGCCUUGACUGGUGGGAGCGUAAGCCACCAGGUUUGUGUGUGGAGCCUUUGCUCUCAGCCCAUUGCUGUCAUUGGAAUGGUAGCUAUUAAAGGACUGUCCAUAAAGCGUGUCUCAUCAGCGCUGCCUGAUGCCUCCUGCUGAGCUGCCUUGUCCUGGGGUCGCGUGCCAAAGGUGCCAGCACCUCCUGCUGGGACUCCUGGAUCACACUGCCCUUAGAACCCUGCUCGUGGUGCCUUUGUGAUGUGCAAUUCUCUAGCAACCUCUGAGUUACACCUUUCUCCUAAGCCCCAUGCUCCUGCCUGCUAAGUUGUGCGUUCUUAGCACUACAGAACGUGGCUCUUGUUGGCUUUUGCAGGUGUUUGUAAGUGGUGGUGAUGUUGGAAAUGCCCAAUAAUUUUCCAGGACGGUGUCUCUGAUAAAGCAGGUUUUAUUUGCAAUGGCAGUGUUGGGCCUCCUGCAAGCAGGAGCGCGCACAGAAAGCAGUGCUGCACCUUUUAUGCCCUGCUGCCCGACGCUGAUCCCUUUCUGCCCUGGCUCCUCACUGCUGAGUGCUGCAGGUUCGCACUCUGUUGCGACACUUCACUGAUCCCACAAAUAGCAAGUGCACACAGAUCCUUGCCAUGCAGACACAAACAUCUCCGCUGGUUAAUGGCCUUCUGACCAUUGCUUUCUUAACAAACAUCUGGUCGUCACUUUCGGAUGCCUGCUUUACAGCAUAAACGUAAACCUGACCUCUUCAUUGUUUAAUUACCCCCUUGGCAUUUGCGCCCUUUACACUGGGUCACCGUUCUGGUCAUCCGUCUGUCCUUGCAUGGAGAUAAGCUUGGAGGGAGGAUAGAGGGGAGCAUCCUGGAUCUGCCUAUGGCAUCCUGACAUUGCCACAGAGCAGGACAGCUGUGCUUUGUGUAAAAGCCCUGGCUCCUUGAAAGCUUGUUAAAUGCAUUUCAUGUUUGCUGGCUCACCAGUCUUACAGCACGUUUUCUAGUUCAGAAUACCUACGUUGUUUAAAACAUUUAAGGUCUAUUGCAACUGCGUGAGGAAGAAUGUGUCGCACAGCGCAGUAACUGUGUGUGUUCCUGAUAUGCAGAUGAUAUCUCUCCUUGUCACAUCAGCUACUCCUACAGACAAGUUAUGGAAUGCAAACACGUCGUGUUCUAUUUCUUUAGGUCCAUUGUCCAUCUCAACAUCCAGCGCAGGAACAACAUUUCAUUCCCGCAGUGCAUAAUGCUGUGAAGGCAUCGCAGGCCGCCCGCUCGUCUCCGCCGUGCUCAGGGGCUUUGCUGAGCUGCCGGCCCAGCGCUGCAGCUCCACAGCGCAGCCUCACGUCUGGUGACGGACUGCAGCUGGAAAACCCUGGCAGCAGAGGACGCUCCUGCCCCACAGAAGGACUCGCAGCUCCAGCGCCCUCAGUGCUGGAAGGAGGCUGCGGUGCCUCCACGCGAUGGAUGCGGUCCACCCGACAGCUCGUGUGGCUCACCGUGAGAGGCCAGCAGGAAGAAAGGUGGGCACGGGAUUAUCAUGAGCUCUAGAUAUGCAGCUAAAAGAGGCUGAAAACCAGGAGUCCAAAGCCUUGUCUGUGGAAGGCCCACCUCCCUGGGAAGUUACCCAGCUCCCGAGCAAAGAAAAAGAAGAAUCAAGUCUUCAGUGAGCACACACACUCCAGUCAGUCAGCUCUGCAAUAAAAGCUACCUUUUCCAUGCACCCCCA